rnacentral:rRNA from 1 species
UACGAAGGGUGCAAGCGUUAAUCGGAAUUACUGGGCGUAACGUGAGUGUAGGCGGUUGCGUGUGUCGGAUGGGAAAGCCCCGGGCUCAACCUGGGAAUUGCAUUCGAAACUGCGCGACUAGAAUAUGGUAGAGGAAGACGGAAUUCCACGUGUGGCGGUGAAAUGCGUAGAUAUGUGGAGGAACACCAAUGGCGAAGGCAGUCUUCUGGGCCAAUAUUGACGCUGAGGCUCGAAAGCGUGGGUAGCAAACAGG